UACGUAGGGUGCGAGCGUUAAUCGGAAUUACUGGGCGUAAAGCGUGCGCAGGCGGUUAUGUAAGACAGUUGUGAAAUCCCCGGGCUCAACCCUGGGAACUGCAUCUGUGACUGCAUAGCUAGAGUACGGUAGAGGGGGGAUGGAAUUCCGCGUGUAGCAGUGAAAUGCGUAGAUAUGCGGAGGAACACCGAUGGCGAAGGCAAUCCCCCUGGGGCCUGCACUGACGCUCAUGCACGAAAGCGUGGGGAGCAAACAGG
rnacentral:rRNA from 1 species